rnacentral:lncRNA from 1 species
UUUUGACUGUGAUCAAGUAUGAUUCAGAAACAAAGAGCCAGAAGAAUAAGUGUUGUGAGAGGAAGAGAAAAAUCUUUACACCGAUCUGCGGUAUUGGGUGCCAGGCAGCAGUAGCUAAACUAUGUGAAAAUAAACUAAAAAUGGAUUCUGAAGAUUAUAUGAAGUGCCUCCAAAUCCAAGAUGUCUGAAGACAUGCAAAAUAGGGUUUUCUAUCAAAAUGUUUCUGAGAAGACUCUGGGAGAGGGAGUGACUGCAUAUUACAGUCAAGAACACAGGAAGCAGCCAAAGGGCUAUGUGAUACUGUCAGCUGCAGCUACAGAUUUCCAGUUUAUUAGGUCAAGAAACACUAGUGGCAUUGACAGAAGCCAGUGG